UACGGGAGGCAGCAGUGGGGAAUAUUGGGCAAUGGGCGCAAGCCUGACCCAGCCAAGUAGCGUGAAGGACGACGGCCCUACGGGUUGUAAACUUCUUUUGUACGGGAAUAAAGUGAGGCACGCGCUGCCUUUUUGCAUGUACCGUACGAAUAAGCAUCGGCUAAUUCCGUGCCAGCAGCCGCGGUAAU
rnacentral:rRNA from 1 species